rnacentral:rRNA from 1 species
CCUACGGGCGGCAGCAGUGGGGAAUAUUGGACAAUGGGCGAAAGCCUGAUCCAGCCAUGCCGCGUGUGUGAAGAAGGCCUUCGGGUUGUAAAGCACUUUCAGUGGGGAAGGAAGCCUUGGGGCUAAUACCCUCGAGGAAGGACAUCACCCACAGAAGAAGCACCGGCUAACUCCGUGCCAGCAGCCGCGGUAAUACGGAGGGUGCGAGCGUUAAUCGGAAUUACUGGGCGUAAAGCGCGCGUAGGCGGUCUGAUAAGCCGGUUGUGAAAGCCCCGGGCUCAACCUGGGAACGGCAUCCGGAACUGUCAGGCUAGAGUGCAGGAGAGGAAGGUAGAAUUCCCGGUGUAGCAGUGAAAUGCGUAGAGAUCGGGAGGAAUACCAGUGGCGAAGGCGGCCUUCUGGACUGACACUGACGCUGAGGUGCGAAAGCGUGGGUAGCAAACAGGAUUAGAUACCCCGGUAGUC